rnacentral:rRNA from 1 species
AUUGAACGCUGGCGGCAUGCCUUACACAUGCAAGUCGAACGGCAGCACGGGAGCAAUCCUGGUGGCGAGUGGCGAACGGGUGAGUAAAGCAUCGGAACGUGCCCAGUCGUGGGGGAUAACGUAGCGAAAGCUACGCUAAUACCGCAUACGAUCUGUGGAUGAAAGCGGGGGACCGUAAGGCCUCGCGCGAUUGGAGCGGCCGAUGUCAGAUUAGGUAGUUGGUGGGGUAAAGGCUCACCAAGCCGACGAUCUGUAGCUGGUCUGAGAGGACGACCAGCCACACUGGGACUGAGACACGGCCCAGACUCCUACGGGAGGCAGCAGUGGGGAAUUUUGGACAAUGGGCGCAAGCCUGAUCCAGCAAUGCCGCGUGCAGGAUGAAGGCCUUCGGGUUGUAAACUGCUUUUGUACGGAGCGAAAAGGCUUCCACUAAUACUGGGGGCUCAUGACGGUACCGUAAGAAUAAGCACCGGCUAACUACGUGCCAGCAGCAGCCGCAGUAA